rnacentral:lncRNA from 1 species
AAAGGAAAUUUUUACUUGCAUUUAAAUAUAACACAAUUUAAUUUCACACUUUUCAAUCAUACAUCAUAUAUACUAUAAAUAAAACCCUUUAAAAAGCACUGAAUAAACAUAUCAAAUGUGCUGUAAGAUCAGACAAAUAUUUGUUAUAUAAACAUCAUCUUUUUACUUUGCAGUACACUUUCAUUAUUUGUAAAAUAUCAGAACUAUUUCCUGAAACCAGAUACAGAUACAGAAUCAUAUAGUAUUGUAGUUAUAAAGUAAUUGAACACAAAAUUAAAUAAUAAAAUACCUCUCCUGGGUCUAGUACUGUCAAAAGUCAAACAGGGUGUAUAACUUUUCUUGAUCAUGUAUAAAAGUAAAUGUUUAUUGGAAUGCAGAGUUGUUUCAUAACAUUUCAAAGCAUGUAUAGCAGAAAAGCAUAAACCAAAAUUUUGCAAACAUAAAUUUUUGUUAAAAUUGAUCUAAGCAGGCAUUAAAAGAUAAGAUGUUUGGAUGUUAAAAUGCUUUCAACAUUAAAAUACGUUUCUAUUUUUAUAAAUAUAUCUUCAAGUUUAUAAAGCAACUGUUAUUCUUUUUUUUAAUUUAUAAGAAAUACAUUUUUAGUCAACUUAAAAGCCAUGUUUUAAUUUUUUUAAUGAUUAUAUUUCUUAAAAUACAAUAAUAAUGUAAAUAUUCAUUUUUUCAUCAAGAUUUGAUUGAAAACAAUGGUUUUAUUUGAGUAGAAAAAUAAAGGGAAUGAAGAAAAUUUAUAGAUAUAUAUCAAUUAUUUUUGACAUUGAUUGCAAUAUUUUACAAACUAAAAGUAAUUGUUCAACAUAAAAAAAAUUGUCUUGGGAGGACCUGAAAUUUCAAAAUUGAAUGAAUUUCACUUUUAACCUUUUAGAUCAAAUAUCAAGACUGCCAACCUGUUUUAGUCAAAAAUAUGAAAGAAAGUUUUAGUUUCUUUAACUUGUAAACCAUUGUAUAAGUUCACAGUAUAUAUAAAAAAAAAUGGAAAUUUAUUUUUUAUAUGUAGCAUAGUCAAUAUUUUCCUCAAAGAUAUGCUAUAGAAAUAUGAGUAUUGACAGGUUCCUGUCAUGGAAAAGUCGAAAAAAAAGUAUAAACAUUAAAAAGGUUGAUAGACAAAUCUUUUUGAAUUUCCCCACUAAGUGAAGUUAAAAUGCAGUAAAAUAUUUUGAAAUCAUUUUGCAAAUGAAAUACAAUAUAAAGGUCAGUCAUGAAGUAAAGUUUCAUCCAAUAUAAAUUUUUAAGAUAUUCACUUUUUAACAUUAUUUUUCUUAUUCAUAGAUAAGAAAUGUGGUAUGAGUGUCAAUGAGACAACUCUCCAAUGGUAUCAUAAUUGUAAGAGUAAAAUAUCCUUUUUUGAACAAAUACUUAUAAUAUUUACUAAAAUCUAAAUUAUUCAAUAAUAAAAACAGACUGCAUUGAGAGGUGUUUUAUAUAAUACACAGGAGCCAAGCAUUCAUACCCUAUCUUCUUCAAUCAUACAAAAUCACGACACCAUCAAAUUGGUGACAUAUAUAAUAUACAUGAUGCUUGUGUAGAAGUAUUGUACAUUGCACGUUCCCUUCAAAAACAGAAAAAAAACAAACCAUGUGAGCACAAUUCCAUGACCAUUAAAACUGGAAUAUUUUUAUAUACAAAUAAAUAGUUCAUCUCUAUUUCACCCUGCCAAACACAGCUAAAACAAAACAUUUACUGGAAGUUCUAUUAAAAAUAUUCAUACACAAGGAGGAAUCUUAAUGCAUCUCAUUUUCAAACAUAAUAUUAAAACUAAUAUUCAUCAACUUCAAUCUCACCAUUUAUCAUUUGCAGCAACUCAUGUACACACAUUCAGCCUCACGUAUACUAACACACGUAUAUUCAUACUCAUACUAUGUAUAAAUAUAUAAGUACACUGGCAAUUUUGAGUUCAUAUCAAAAGAGCAGAAUAUUUUUUUAAUACAUUAUGUCUGUGUUAAUAGUAAUUUCCCUUAUUCUUGUUCUAUCUGACUUAACAUAUUCUCAAUCAUCAAAUAUUGUGAUACAUUUUAACUACAUAGUUAACACUGAACACUUUAAUCUGUUUCAUUUUCGAAAAUUCUUUAUUUUAGCGAAAAAAAUAAAACAAAACAGACACAUUCUUUUUCUGUUUAGGGUUAGAUACUUGUCAUUUUAUCUUUUAAUUAAAUUUCCAACACUUUAUUUAUGUAAACAAAAUGAUAUAUAUUUCAUCAAAUGAAAAAUGUGAAUAGCUAUUGCUAUACUAAUGAAUUUUGUCUUUGUAAAUUUCAAUUUCGACAGCUUUCAAAUAUAGAUAUGUCAUAACUUUUACUCAUCUUUACACACAUCAGCAGCUCUAGGCUCUUUUCACCAAAAUUAUAAUUGUAAGAUUAAGAUUCUUGCAGUCAUGAACAUUUUAAUAUGACUUGAAAAUCUGAAUUGUGUAACUUUAAUAUGAAAAGAGUCACUGUGUCGCUUCAACGUGUAGGGAUGUGGUAGUCAAUUGCUUGGUUCAAAUGCUGCAUUUCUUGAAACAAAAAACUAAUAAUUACAUUAUUUUUACAAGAAUUAACAAAGUUUGACCCACAUUUUUUCCCGUUUCCAUCAAACCAGACAUCUAUAUAAUCUAUAUAGUACCAUGUUAUCAUGUUUCAAAUUUAACCAAAAAAUGAAGUCUCGUCGUGAAGCUACUAAUAGGUAACCCUCAUCUUAUUGGUUUAUUGUAUCAUCAUAAUGAGACAGUUGUAAACUGUGUUCUUGGUCAAACUAUAUAUGUACCCUCUGCUGAUUAGUGUGAAUUUAAUCAAUAACUGUUUCUGAUAAAAAUAUAUUACAAAUGGAAAUCUGAUUUUUCAAAAGAAUAUUUUUUUUUUUUUUAAAAAGCCAAACUGAAAUGAAUGCAACCCUAUAUUAUAGAACUCCAACUAUUGAUAUAUUUUACUAAUGAAACACAAAAAAUGCUUAAAUAAAUUCACAAUCUCACUCACUCUAUCAGACUUUCUCAUUCAUCAAACACAAGACUUCCAUGAAGCAUAUCUCAAACAAAAAAAAAUAGUCACCAAUUUACAUACUCUAAAAUCUUCAUAUAUAUAUUUUAAACAAAUUAUGCAUACACACAAAAAUCGUAAAAUAUACACAAACACUAAGACUAUUUACACAAGACUUAAUUGUACACAAAAUCACAGUAAAGUCAUAUUAUGUAUUAUAAUGCCAUGGCAACUGAGAUGAGAGGAAUAUUGACCUUGAGGAGGUCAACAGGUGAUUAAGAAUCUGACAUGAUUUUCUAAGUAUAUUUCAGCUUAGUACACAAAUGAAAUAAAUGUAUCGCCCUAUCUAUAUGAAUUUGGUCUGCCACUGUCAGUUCAAAAACUGUUUCGUCUUUUAUUAAAGCCAUAAAUGAGAUCUACUGAAUAUUUAAUAAAUGAAAAUAUUCAUUUUAGAUUCAACGUUUACAUUCUUUAAUUUCUAGGAUUAAAUUGUUUAUUUUUUUGCACUUUCUGUAAAAUCUGAAAUUCUUAUAAAAUUUUCAUGAUUUUUUUUUCUGAAUUGAAUGUAAUUUUUACCAAACAAUUCUUAUGAAAAUAAAACAAAGAAAUUUCAUCAUUAAUAUGCCACUUAUUAAAAUAAGUAACUUUAUUU